rnacentral:rRNA from 1 species
ACUGCUAUCGGAUUGAUACUAAGCCAUGUGAGUCAUUGUAGCAAUACAAGGCAGACGGCUCAGUAACACGUAGCCAACCUACCCUAUGGACGGGGAUAACCUCGGGAAACUGAGGAUAAACCCCGAUAGAUCAUAAUGCCUGGAACGGUUUAUGGUCCAAACGAUUCGUCGCCAUAGGAUGGGACUGCGGCCUAUCAGCUUGUUGGUGAGGUAAUGGCCCACCAAGGCUAUUACAGGUACGGGCUCUGAGAGGAGAGGCCCGGAGAUGGGUACUGAGACACGGACCCAGGCCCUAUGGGGCGCAGCAGGCGAGAAACCUUUGCAAUAUGCGCAAGCACGACAAGGUUAAUCCGAGUGUUUCCUGCUAAAGGAAUCUUUUGUUAGUCAUAAAACCACUGAUGAAUAAGGGGUGGGCAAGUUCUGGUGUCAGCCGCCGCGGUAAUACCAGCACCUCAAGUGGUCAGGAGGAUUAUUGGGCCUAAAGCAUCCGUAGCCGGCUCUGUAAGUUUCCGGUUAAAUCCAUUUGCUCAACUGAUGGGCUGCCGGAAAUACUGCAAGGCUAGGGAGUGGGAGAGGUAGACGGUACUCAGUAGGAAGGGGUAAAAUCCUUUGAUCUAUUGAUGACCACCUGUGGCGAAGGCGGUCUACCAGAACACGUCCGACGGUGAGGGAUGAAAGCUGGGGGAGCAAACCGGAUUAGAUACCCGGGUAGUCCCAGCUGUAAACGAUGCAGACUCGGUGAUGCCCUGGCUUGUGGCCAGUGCAGUGCCGCAGGGAAGCCGUUAAGUUUGCCGCCUGGGAAGUACGUACGCAAGUAUGAAACUUAAAGGAAUUGGCGGGGGAGCACCACAAGGGGUGAAG